UUAAGGUUAGAAUUUGUGUUAGGGCUAGAUUAACGUUAAGGGUUAGGGUUAGGAGCUAGGGUUAGUUUUAGGGUGGUUAGGAGCUAGGGUUAGGGUUAAGGUUAGCUUUUUGGGUUAGUGUAAGGGUAAGAAUAUGAGUUAAGGUUAGGGGUUAGGCAAAAUAGGAUUUUGAAUGGGACUGAAUUGUGUGUCCCCACAAGGUUAGCUGUACAAGACUGUGUGUGUGUGUGUUGUGUGUGUUUUGUUUUAAUUAAGUCUACUGUACCUGUCUGAUGGUUGACUCCACAGGCCCUGAUAGGAAGACAAAUGCGUAGAAGAAUUCCAGACUAAGGGACUCCUCUUUUGGUCUCUGGACUCUUCUCCUUUGUUGAGUUGAUUUAAUUUCAACUCAAUAACAUAAGUUUUGAUUCAGUCCACUUUGUUCUGUUUUAGACGGUCCUCCAGAUUAGAAAGCUACAUUAAUUUUCCCUCUUUGUCGUCCUCCCCUCUUGGUAUGGAUUGUUCUUAGGAUAGAAUUACAGUUUCUUGCGCUCUCUCUUUGUUUCCUCUGUUCCUUUCUCUCUGUCCACUGUAGAAUUCUUGUCAACUUUUAGAUAAACUCUGUCCUCCCGUAAAUCUUUAACUCAGUUGAUACAUUUAAUAAAUCUAUCUAUCCCUACAUCUAGAGUUUGUUUAUCCUUUCUCCCUCUUUUCAAUUCACAAUAGUUCUCUCUCUUUCUCUCUCCCUCGCUCUCUCUACUUCUCAAUAACUUCCAGAUGUGACUGUGUUGUUGGCCGCUCUCUUUUCUCUCUUGCUCUCUCCUCUCCUCAGUAUUUUUGCCGUCGCUCCUCCAGCGCCCCUUCUUCCUCCACACCUCCAUCCCCUUACUCACCACAUCUCUCUCCCUCCUCCCUUUCACACUCUCUACCUCUCUCCUUCUCUCUCUCUAAACAAACAUUAUUCUCUGUCAGAUUAUCCUAUUCAGCAGAGCAGAGCAGAGAGACAUUAAGGCAUUUAUUUGACAGAGUUGCAGAUUUGUUUCUCUUCUAUUUCCUCUGAUUCUGUUGUACGCACCCCCCUCCCCCAACCCACACACAUACUUACUCCCCUUCCUGAAAUAAUAGUUGACGAAGGUUGAGGUGGUGUAGUGGCCAGGAUAACAUUUUCUAUUUACCAAGGAUCAAUCUUACUAAAAGCGGUUGUUGUGGCUUUAAGUUUAAUUUGUGAUCACAUCACAUCAGAGGGGUUCUAUGACUGAGUUGUUUGCCUGAACAACUGUUUUUGAUCUCUGCUGUUUUCUCUGCUAGACGUUUGCAACAGAUGCAACUUCAGAAAAAACAGACCAGUAGAAUAGAAGACCUGUGCGUCAUCACAACACCGCUCUUUACUGCAGGUCACAUUGAACUGUGCUCUGAUCAUAAAGAUGGGGAAAGGGCACAACCUAGUGGCCAUAAUCAGCAACACGUAUGUUUUUUUUAUUUAACCAGGCAAGUCAAUUAAGAACAAAUUCUUAUUUACAAUCACAGCCUACACCGGCCAAACUCGGACAAUGCUGGGCCAAUUGUGCACCACCCUAUGGGACUCCCAAUCAUAGCCGGUUGUGAUACAGCCUGGAUUCAAAUCAGGGUGUUUGUAGUGACGCCUCUAGCACUGAGAUGCAGUGCCUUAGACCGCUGCGCCACUCGGGAACCCCAUAUCAAAUCAAGUAAACAAAGCCUUUUCUAUGGGACAAAUCCCAACUUCCACUGAAGUUGAAUAUUCACUUAGUCAUGAUGUCAAUGGGAGACUAAGUGACUAUUUGUCUCAGUGGAAGUUCAGAUUUGCACCUAUGAAUUGAUUGCUAUUGAUUUAAGCAGUUCCAUAAAUAAAGUGCAUUUGAAGACCGCAAAUUGUUAAGCAAAAAGUAUUAAUAUUCUGCCACGUUCAACAACUUCAUUCUAGAACAUGCACUCUGCACAUCUAAAACUUUAUUUAACAAAAAAACAUUAAGACAAAACAGCAUACAAAAUACCAAGGGUAAAACUUAUGACCAUGCACACAACCACUCCUAUCUUCCCUGAGUUAUGUUGACAGAGCACACAAUCACAGAUACAUACAAUGUCAAAGGCCUUUUCAGUAGUACAAAAAUAUUUUUAACUUUUACAUUAUCACCUAGAAAAUCUUUUUAUGGAAAACUCUUCUAUUUUUAAACUGCAGUGGUUAGACAGAAUGCCGCUCCUCCAUUCUUCUUACCUCUCACUCUAAUUUUCUUUCUUUCCAUUCCCUUCUCCCCUCUCCAUUUCUUUUUCACUUUCCCCCUCUCUUUUUUCCCCUCCUGUCUUUUCUCAGUUCGAUUUUGAAAGUGAAGGAAGAGCCAUCCUCUCUUGCCCCUCCUCCACUCCCUCAUCAAUGUACAGCAGAGGCUCCUUCUCCUCCCAUUUCUCUGCCUCCUUGCUCCCAGCCACUCCUACUCCCCCAUCAGGCCCACCCCUCUCUCCCUCAGUCUCGUUGGCUAUGAAUGUGCUCAGCACCACAUCCGUUCCAGCCCCCUCUCUCUUGUUGUCCUCUGGGCUCCCUCCCUCCUCCCCACCCUCAUCCUCCUCCCCAUCCCCACGCCCUAGCUUCACUGGCCCUGCCCAGGCGUCUUCCUCCGCCCCUUUCUUCCGCUUGGAACUCUUCCCGUUCCGGAAGCUGGACACAAAGUACUCGGUGUGGCUCUGCCUCUUUCGUCUGAUGACCAGACAAACACAGUAGAACCCGCCCGCGAAUAUAACCACGAUCAGGAGAGCAACGAUGAUGACCCAUAACAAGCUGGGCUGACCUGUCUUCACCCUGACCCCAGCCACCGUAGAGUCUGGAUCUGUGGAGGUGUGGGUGGUAGCGGGGGUCGUGGCAUGGCCGGGAGGGGGAUUGACCAAUGGGGAGGUGGGUGCAGUGAAUUCAACCCUUUCCUCCACCGACGACAUCUGGUCGACCCACAGGUUCUCCAGAUCCACCCCUGACACAUUCUCUCCUCCUCUCCUCACUCUCCUUCCCCUCUCUCUCUGGACUGACAAACGCACCCACAGGAAGACAGUGAGACCGAGGAAGACCGAAGCAGUCAAUCCCAGAGCCCACAGAACAAUGAAACAGACCAGUCUAGAAGAGCCAGGAAGCAACGACAGGGACCUUUCAUCUGCCUCUCCGCACUCAGGACGAUCAUGCACAGUGUUUUCAGUUGUGUUGUUCAGCCUGUUGUCAUAACCUGAGAUUGUGUGGUUGUGUCUGAAUGAAUGAGUUUUCUCCUUCAAAAGUACUGUUGUGUUACGAUUAUUAGAGGUUGUGGUAUUACUGUGUGAAAGUGUGUUUGUGUCGUUGUCUGUGUCAUUAUCUGUAAACGUGUUUGCAUUGAUAUAUGGAGUUGUCCUAUUGUCAGCAUGGGGGAUUGAAAUGGUGGCGUGGUCCUGGUUGUCCAUAGACUGGCUUGUGUCGUCAGGUUGUGUUUUGUAGCCGGUAGCCCAGUAAGUCACAGUCAUGUGCUCAUACAAACCAGGACGUGUGACUGUGUACGUAGGUGAAACCGUUGUUGUUGUUGUUGUGACGCUGUUGGCCUUACUUUGUUUACCUCUGUUCAAACCUGUCACUCUACUAGUUGGGGUGAUUGUGAAGAAGUCUCUCUGUGUUGUGUAGUAAUCUCCUGAUGCAAUCUCUAGUCCUUGUGUAGCAGGGUGCUGGUCUGCUGCUUGUGACCUGUCUAAGUGUGGCUUCGCUAGCCUGGAGUCAUUAAUGGUGUCAGCAGCCCAUGUCUCUAUGGAAUUUGGUGUGCUCAGUUCUCUGGCUGUUUCAGUGGUGCUGCUGUCAUGAUACUCAGUCCCUUCCUCCCCGGGGAGAGAGGUGGUGCUGGGGUGGUCAGUUGUGGGUGAGGCUGUGUGUCUGCUGAAGGGAAGAGUCUCAUGGUGAUUGUGGCUCUCUGUUUCCCUCCUCAAGUCUCCUGCAGUUAUGUGCCUGUUGCUCUUCUGUACAGCUGUGGUGGCGUAAGUGGCAGUUCCUGUUCUGAGAAUGCCUCUUCCUUGAGUCGUUCUGCCUGAGUUGUUGACAGCUGCUAAGCUAGCGCUUUUCUUCACUUGUGUGUUGAACAUGCCACUAGUCCUACCAGGGUGGUUUUCAGUUGUGGAGAGUGGAAUUAUCAGGGGGUCUGAUGUUGUAGUGCUGAUACUAAGGUCUAGAGCUGUUGUUGUUGUUUCUGUGGCGCUUGGUGAAGCCGCAGUGGUAGAAUGGAAGACAAGAGUGGCGAGGAGGUGAGGAAGGCACAUGGCGAGGGAAAUCAGAGUCAAUCUCAUCAUGUCUGUGUGUGAGAAAGAGAGGGGCAGAGAAAGAUAGGAAUAGUGGGAUAGAGAGAAGA
rnacentral:lncRNA from 1 species